ACACACACAACGGAGGAAAGAACCUACCAAGGAUUCCCCUAGUAACUGCGAGUGAAGAGGGAAGAGCUCAAAUUUGAAAUCUGACAGUGUUUAGCUGUCCGAGUUGUAAUCUAGAGAAGUGCUACCCGUGCUGGACCAUGUACAAGUCUCCUGGAAUGGAGCGUCGUAGAGGGUGAGAAUCCCGUCUUUGACAUGGACUACCAGUGCACUGUGGUGUGCUCUCAAAGAGUCGAGUUGUUUGGGAAUGCAGCUCUAAAUGGGUGGUAAACUCCAUCUAAGGCUAAAUAUUGGCGAGAGACCGAUAGCGAACAAGUACCGUGAGGGAAAGAUGAAAAGAACUUUGGAAAGAGAGUUAAACAGUAUGUGAAAUUGUUGAAAGGGAAACGCUUAAAGUCAGUUGUAUCGGCCAGGGAUCAACCCAGUUCAUCUUUGCUGGGUGUACUUCCUGAUCUGAUGGGCCAACAUCAGUUUUGAUUGCUGGAAAAGGAUAGAGGGAAUGUGGCACCUUUUGGGGUGUGUUAUAGCUCUCUGUCAAAUACAGUGGUUAGGACUGAGGAAAGCAGCAUGCCACAAGGCCGGGUUUCGACCACGUUCAUGCUGAGGAUGUUGGCAUAAUGGCUUUAAUCGACCCGUCUUGAAACACGGACCAAGGAGUCUAACAUGCCUGCGAGUAUUUGGGUGGCAAACCCAAGUGCGUAAUGAAAGUGAAAGGUUGAGAUCCCUGUCAUGGGGAGCAUCGAUGCCCGGACCUGAGCUUUUAGCAAAGGAUCUGCGGUAGAGCAUGCAUGUUAGGACCCGAAAGAUGGUGAACUAUGCCUGAAUAGGGUGAAGCCAGAGGAAACUCUGGUGGAGGCUCGUAGCGAUUCUGACGUGCAAAUCGAUCGUCAAAUUUGGGUAUAGGGGCGAAAGACUAAUCGAACCAUCAUUGGC
rnacentral:rRNA from 1 species